GGUUUCUCUGUGUAGCCCUGGCUGUCCUGGAACUCACUCUGUAGACCAGGCUGGCCUCGAACUCAGAAAUUCACCUGCCUCUGCCUCCCAAGUGCUGGGAUUAAAGGCAUGUGCCACCACUGCCCG
ensembl:miRNA Gm44310 predicted gene, 44310